rnacentral:rRNA from 1 species
CCCUACGGGACGCAGCAGUGGGGAAUAUUGCACAAUGGGGGAAACCCUGAUGCAGCAACGCCGCGUGAGUGACGACGUAUUUCGGUAUGUAAAGCUCUAUCAGCAGGGAAGAAGAAAGACGGUACCUGACUAAGAAGCCCCGGCUAACUACGUGCCAGCCGCCGCGGUAAUACGUAGGGAGCCAGCGUUAUCCGGAUUUACUGGGGGUAAAGGGAGCGUAGACGGCUGUGCAAGUCUGAAGUGAAAUCUCUUGGUUCAAC